UCGAGAAUCUUCCGCAAUGGGCGAAAGCCUGACGGAGCAAUGCCGCGUGAGGGAUGAAGGCCUUCGGGUUGUAAACCUCUGUCGCCCGGGACGAAUCAAUGACGGUACCGGGAGAGGAAGCUACGGCUAACUACGUGCCAGCAGCCGCGGUAAUACGUAGGUAGCGAGCGUUAUUCGGAUUUACUGGGCGUAAAGGGUCCGCAGGAGGCCUGCCAAGUCUGAUGUGAAAGCCCACGGCUCAACUGUGGAACGGCAUCGGAAACUGGCGGGCUCGAGUGCACGAGGGGAAAGCGGAAUUCCAGGUGUAGCGGUGGAAUGCGUAGAUAUCUGGAGGAACACCGAUGGCGAAGGCGGCUUUCUGGCGUGCAACUGACUCUCAUGGACGAAAGUGUGGGUAGCAAACAGG
rnacentral:rRNA from 1 species